rnacentral:rRNA from 1 species
CGUUCUGUAAGCCUGCGAAGGUGUGCUGUGAGGCAUGCUGGAGGUAUCAGAAGUGCGAAUGCUGACAUAAGUAACGAUAAAGCGGGUGAAAAGCCCGCUCGCCGGAAGACCAAGGGUUCCUGUCCAACGUUAAUCGGGGCAGGGUGAGUCGACCCCUAAGGCGAGGCCGAAAGGCGUAGUCGAUGGGAAACAGGUUAAUAUUCCUGUACUUGGUGUUACUGCGAAGGGGGGACGGAGAAGGCUAUGUUAGCCGGGCGACGGUUGUCCCGGUUUAAGCAUGUAGGCUGGUUGUCCAGGCAAAUCCGGAUAAUCAAGGCUGAGGUGUGAUGACGAGGCACUACGGUGCUGAAGUAACAAAUGCCCUGCUUCCAGGAAAAGCCUCUAAGCAUCAGGUAACAUUAAAUCGUACCCCAAACCGACACAGGUGGUCAGGUAGAGAAUACCAAGGCGCUUGAGAGAACUCGGGUGAAGGAACUAGGCAAAAUGGUGCCGUAACUUCGGGAGAAGGCACGCUGGUGUGUAGGUGAAGCCCCUGCGGGUGGAGCUGAGACCAGUCGAAGAU